CUGCAGCCCGAGUGGUGAUCGAUUUUAUUGAGCCUAAAGCGUCCGUAGCCGGACUAGUAAACCCUUGGGUAAAUUGGGCAGCUUAACUGUCCAAAUUCCGAGGGGACUGCUAGUCUUGGGACCGGGAGAGGUCAGAGGUACUCCAGGGGUAGGGGCUAAAUCCUGUAAUCCUUGGGGGACCACCAGUGGCGAAGGCGUCUGACUAGAACGGAUCCGACGGUAAGGGACGAAACCCUGGGGCGCGAACCGGAUUAGAUACCCGCGUAGUCC
rnacentral:rRNA from 1 species